AGGACAAACGCUGGCGGCGUGCGUAACACAUGCAAGUCGAACGCUCUGGUCUCUUUCGGGAGAGCAGGGAGUGGCGGACGGGUGAGGAACACGUGGGAACCUGCCCUUUAGUGAGGAAUACCGGCGAGAAAUCGCCGACAAGACCGCAUAGCCCUCUUUGAUGAGAGUCAAAGAAGGAAAGCUUCGCAAGAGGCGCUAGAGGAGGGGCCUGCGUCCGAUUAGCUAGUUGGUGGGGUAAGAGCCUACCAAGGCGUCGAUCGGUAGCUGGUCUGAGAGGACGAUCAGCCACACUGGGAUUGAGAACGGCCCAGACUCCUACGGGGGGCAGCAGUGAGGAAUUUUCGGCAAUGGGGGAAACCCUGACCGAGCAACGCCGCGUGCAGGAAGACGGCCUUCGGGUUGUAAACUGCUUUUCUUUGGGACGAGGAGGACGGUACCAGAGGAAUCAGCCCCGGCUCACUACGUGCCAGCAGCCGC
rnacentral:rRNA from 1 species